CAGACACCUGGCUGCCCAUCGCAUAGCCUGUCAGCGACGAAGCAGAGAUGUAAAUUCCAGAACUGUUGGCUCCCGGCGUGUUGGCAAAGUCCACAGGUUCUAGAAUCCAUGACCUGGUGACUGCAUGGCAGGGCUUAGAGGAAGAGCAGAGCUGCCAGCCGCUGUCAUCUGCCGGUGUUUUCUGGAUACUAUGCCUUACACGGCUGAGCUUUACAGAAGGAGCAGGCAGGUUUCCAUUUGGAAUUUUAACAUCACCCUAAAAGCACCAGGAUCCCGUGGCAGGAUAAAGCUGAAGUGCAUUUUGCAAGACCUCAGUCCCUGCAGGGGAGAAACUGGACCGGAAGUCGAGGUUGGAUGGAGGGAAGGAUGAAAAGGCUGUGGUGAUAGUCUGGGACAGAGGAGAUGGUGACUAGGAUGAGGGCGGGGGCAGGAGGAAUGGAGAGAGGGGAAGGACCUGAGUCUGGAGGAAGAAAGCUUAGGCUCUGAACGUUGAUUUGCUGUGGGCGUGACACAGACAGGAGUCGAGGCCGGCGCGAAGCUGCUCCCCUUGAGCAAGUGGGGUGCUGGUUCACUACAGUAACAGGAAAGAGGAAGAGGUUUGGGAGGUGAGGAGCCCCCUUCUGGAUAUGCGGGAUCUCCUGGGCGACACCCGGGAGCGGACUUGGGCCUCAGGGGAGACGCUGGCCCAGGGCUGUGGAUUCAGGCUUUCCAGCAGACACAGAAACCCCCAUAAUCAGGCACAACUCUGUUGUACUUUUGGUUUCUUGGUGACCCCCUACGACAGUGGGGCCCAUCGCCUCUGCACUCAUCUCGCAGAAAGCUAAGCUUGCCUGCAAAAGAGGGAGAGAAAAUGAGAACAGAACCAUCUCAUGCGUUCAAGCGAGUGUGCCACACCUGAUUUCCCUCGCAAGAGCGGAGACGCAAUCCAGAGUCCUGCAUUCCCCCAAGACAUCUUUAAAUUUACCCAGGAAACUGUUAAAAGUGCUCUUUGCAAUUUCCUUUCCUUAUAGAAAAAAGUGUCUGCAGCAUAUGUGUUUUAAUAGCUUAUGUUACUACAGUGCUCAAAACUUUAAACCUCUGUUCACUCCUUACCAUAAAGAGUCACUUAUUCAUAAAAUAAAAAGUGCUGAGACCCAUCGCCCUAGCACUCCCUCCAGAAUGCGGGCUUCAUGCCGGCAAGGACUUCGUGCAUCCAGUUCACUGUCAUCCUCCCAGGGCAGGAACGAGGUCUGGUACAUAAUUUGCAGAAUCGGUGAACAGGUGUCGGUUCACAGGUGGUUCCUGCCCGGGCGGCUGCGGUGGAAGCCGGAGGCAAUUAGGGGCCGAGCUUUGUGGAGAUGAGGUCAGGGAGCGAAGGGUUGCCGGCUGUGAUUUUUCCUGAGGAAAUGAUUCAGGAUAAUAUGCUGGUUCAUGGCUCCCACCGUGACCAUCGGCUCAGCAAACCCAGCCACCCCGUGAUGAAAUCUGGCUGGGGGCCAGGCCAGUGGCAUUUCAGGCUGUCCUCCUCCCCUCUGAGGAGGCGCUGCCCUCGCUUCAACCACCUGCUGAUCCAUCCCAACCACAAGUCAAGGCCCUACCUGUGCUGGGGUCUUGGGAUUUCCCCGAGAGCAGACCAGCAGGCUUUC
ensembl:lncRNA